rnacentral:rRNA from 1 species
GAUGAACGCUGGCGGCGUGCCUAAUACAUGCAAGUCGAGCGAACGGACGAGAAGCUUGCUUCUCUGAUGUUAGCGGCGGACGGGUGAGUAACAUGUGGAUAACCUACCUAUAAGACUGGGAUAACUUCGGGAAACCGGAGCUUAUACCGGAUAAUAUUUUGAACCGCGUGGUUCAAAAGUGAAAGACGGUCUUGCUGUCACUUAUAGAUGGAUCCGCGCUGCAUUAGCUAGUUGGUAAGGUAACGGCUUAUCAAGGCAACGAUUCAUAGCCGACGUGAGAGGGUGAUCGGCCACACUGGAACGGAGACAGGGUCCAGACUCCUACGGGAGGCACCAGUAGGGAAUCUUCCGCAAUGGGCGAAAGCCUGACGGAGCAACGCCGCGUGAGUGAUGAAGGUCUUCGGAUCGUAAAACUGUGUUAUUAGGGAAGAACAUAUGUGUAAUUAACUGUGCACAUCUUGACGGUACCUAAUCAGAAAGCCACGGCUAACUACGUG